rnacentral:rRNA from 1 species
UACGAGGGGUCCUAGCGUUGUUCGGAAUCAUUGGGCGUAAAGAGCUCGUAGGUGGCUUAGUAAGUCAGGUGUGAAAGCCCAGGGCUCAACCCUGGAAGUGCACUUGAAACUGCAUAGCUUGAGUACGGUAGAGGUAAGCGGAAUUCCUGGUGUAGUGGUGAAAUACGUAGAUAUCAGGAGGAACAUCGGUGGCGAAGGCGGCUUACUGGACCAGUACUGACACUGAGGAGCGAAAGCAUGGGGAUCAAACAGG